rnacentral:rRNA from 1 species
AUUGAAAGCUGGCGGCAGGCCUAACACAUGCAAGUCGAACGAGUGGCGGACGGGUUGGUAAUGUCUGGGAAAAUUCCUGAUGGAGGGGGAUAACUACUGGAAACGGUAGCUAAUACCGCAUACCAUCGGAUGUGCCCAGAUGGGAUUCGGUAGUAGGUGGGGUAAAGGCUCACCUAGGCGACGAGCCCUAGCUGGGCUGAGAGGAUGACCAGCCACACUGGAAAUGAGACACGGUCCAGACGCCUACGGGAGGCAGCAGUGGGGAAUAUUGGACAAUGGGGGAAAGUCUGAUGCAGCCAUGCCGCGUGUAUGAAGAAGGCCUUCGGGUUGUAAAGUACUUUCAGCGGUGAGGCGUUACCCGCAGAAGAAGCACCGGCUAACUCCGUGCCAGCAGCCGCGGUAAUAC